UACGUAGGGGGCAAGCGUUGUCCGGAAUCAUUGGGCGUAAAGAGCGCGUAGGCGGUCCGGUAAGUCGGUUGUGAAAACUGGGGGCUCAACCCUCAGAGGCCGACCGAUACUGUCGGGCUAGAGUCCGGAAGAGGCGAGUGGAAUUCCUGGUGUAGCGGUGAAAUGCGCAGAUAUCAGGAGGAACACCAAUGGCGAAGGCAGCUCGCUGGGACGGUACUGACGCUGAGGCGCGACAGCGUGGGGAGCAAACAGG
rnacentral:rRNA from 1 species